rnacentral:misc_RNA from 1 species
GAGAGAGAGAGAGAGAGAGAACACACAGAAGGGCAGAGAGUUUUGCUGUGCAAGUGAGCAAGAGAGUGGAGUUACGUAGUGGUUGAGGGCAGAUGGAUGGUAGGGAAGGGUGGCGCGUGAUUACAUGCGCGGCUGCUGCGCAGGAUAAGACGAUAAUCAACCGAGUAAUGCUCAGAUUCCGGCCGAUUGCGCCGAAACCAGCAACUGACGGCUCAAGCUCUAGCUUCUGGAAGCCAGAUAACAAGAACGGUGUGGUUACUAGUGUAAGGACCAAGAGAAAGUACGUUAGGGUUAAGAAGAGUAACGAAUACUACAAAAGAAGAAGAAAAAAGAAAUCAUCAGAUCUUGAAAGAGCUGGUAGAGAAGAUGAUUCAAACGAGAAGCUUUUCACGCUCCAGUUACUACCAGAGAAAACUGAUCUAAAAAAAAAUUCACCCCUAGUUAAAGGAUCUAGCAGUGGUGUUGAUCGUACCGAUAGAAAAGAUCAGGUGCAAGAGCAUACGGAUCCUUCCGUGUUGUUUGAGUCCAGAACACAGGUAACCGGUGAUCUGAGUUCCCUUGCCUUUGCAGAUCGGACGGCUGCGAUGGCAGAGAAGAGAGUAAUAGAGACGUGGGUGACGGUGGAGAGCGUGACAGACACGUGCAUGGAAGUGGCGGACGGGUUAGGGUGUACGGACAUGGAGAAAAUGAAUAAUCUGAACAGGGACACGUGUCCGGGGUUUAUAUCGGAUGGUAGAAGCAGAGUAGAGUGGGUGAACGAAGCAUACAGAAAGAUGGUGAUGGUGAGACCGGAAAAUACCGACGGGCCGUACUCGUCGGUGGAAGAGAUCAUUACGGUGAGGCUGGUGAUGAAAGAGAAAAUAUUGCCAUAUCUGUACUACCCAACGUUUACGUGCUGGGUUAGGUUACAGUACACGUGGCCGAAGGAGAAGUUCUCACAAAUGGUUCCGUGUGAUGUGUGGAAGAUGGAAUCUGGUGGGUUUGCAUGGAGGCUAGACGUUAAGGCAGCUCUAAGUUUGGGUCUUUGAAAAUGGACAAGAAAGAAAGAAAGACCUCUCAUUUCAGGUAUAUGCUUUAUCCUAAUCUAUCACCUAAUAAGUUUCUUGCUAAGCUGGAGAAGCAAAUUAUGUACGAUAAUUAUAUAUACAUUAAGUAAAUAUCAGUAGGUGUAAGGGUGCUCUAAAGUCUAAACCAAGAAGGGAUGGCCUGUAGUGUAGUUUAUUUGUAUCUAUGCAAAUAGACAAGAUUUGGGGACCCAAAAAAGAAAGAAAAAGAAGCAACAAGAACAAGAAACAAUGUGAAAGAUGGGUUCGAAGGAACUGGGAAUUGAUGGUUAACGUGCUUAAUUUGUGCUCUACAUGCCACGCCGGGGGGUUGGACAGUUGGGGGACGAAGAGAACCUUCCAAAUGGCCCAACCCUUCUCUCUUUUUGUUAAUUGCUAUGUGUAUAUCAAAUGAAUUGCCAAAACUUUUUUACUGCUAUCUUUUGGUUGCCAUUUAACAUCUUAUAUAUUCAUGCUUCUAGGGCUAAUUAUAUCAUAUGUUGUGUUAAAAUUCAACAGCUAGAAUAAAUAGAGCUUAAGUAGUGUCACUAUCGACUAUCAAGGAUACAUAUAUAAUAUAAGGUAGCUUACUGAAAACGAAAUUAGAUGUUUUCAAAGAAAAUAGAGAAGGGUUAGUUAGAAGCAAUGUCAUUGAUUAAUAAUGAAGUCUAGUCAUCAGUUUAAUUAUGUCCAGCUAGUGUCCAGUGGCUUGCACUGCUAUAAAUCAAUAUAUAUAUGUAUAUUUGUUUUAGGAAAUAUUAGAGUGUUUAUGGGUUCUUAUAUGUUUAUUUACGUAUCAUUAAUAUAUGUAAUUUACAAAAUCUGUCUACUUGGUUUUUUAAAUUAUUCUUAAUUGUUUUGUUAAGUUUGUUUUGUAAGAAGUGUUGUUUUAUACUAUUUGAUUCAAUUUCUUAAUUAUUAUUUAUAUAUUUUUAAUUUUUGUUGUAAAAUAAUAGAAAAAUAUGACAAAUAUUUGAAUUUUUUUUAUUUUUA